rnacentral:lncRNA from 1 species
AUGAUGGCCAACUACAUCAGUAACAUCACUUAUAACAAUGUGACCAGACCAGUUUUUUACUACUUCUUCCUGACAUUGGCUCCCAGUUUUUACUUCAUCCCUCCUUCUUCACGGAGAAAGGUGAGGCAUGUCUCUAACAAGGAUCUACCAAGCAUUCCCAGCACAAAUGGUUUCUUGGACUCAGGAGAAGGUUCUGAUUUUAGCGCAUCCUGCCUAUGUGGUGCUCUUGGACUCAGGCACUUUCAGGGGUCUGGAAUCUUGGUUUCCACCAUGACAUUUACAGAGCAUCUAAGUCUGCCCAUUGAAAAGCAGCCAGGAUUUAGUGGGCAGUAAUGAGGCUGGCUGGUCUCCAGCAGCUGGAAAACACUGGGACACAUUAAAUGUCACUGAAGGCUUUGUUGGGUUUUGAAUUGAAAAACUGCUAAAGUUAUAAAAGCUUGCAGACUUUGCCUAGAGAAGAAAAACUCCCCCCACCACAAACUACUUUUCUAAGGAACAGUCAGCCCCCUCUUGCACCCCUACCCCAACCCGACACUCACCCCACUUAUACACUAACGAGUUCCCAAAAGCCAUGGUGCUUUCCCAUCAAGUUCCUGUUUCCAGAACUCCUCUUGCUGGUGAGAAAGAAUGCAGCAUCAUUACUAAUUCAAAGCAGAUUGGGCCCAGCUCAGCCUCUAGUGUCUAUCUUCCCAGGAUCCCUUACCCUUUCUUUUUUUCUUAAAAGAAAUGUUUAUACUUAUUUGUUAAAAAAAAAAAAAAAAGCCAUCUUCCACAGAAUGUCAGGUCUUAAAACUAGCAGGGCACUCAAAGACACUGGGAUCAGACUACCACACUCAAGCUGACAUUAGAGUUCCCAUUGUACACACAACAUAACUGAGACCCAGACUAAGUAAAUUAUCCAAAGUCCUAUAGGUAAUAAGUGCAGAGCUCAGAGCCAACUCUCCUUCCUCUUGGCUGUUCUCUCCCUUGAUCAUGUCCCCAUCUGAGAUCAGAGCCUCAGAACUGAAGACGAGCACUUCACUUGUUUUUCUCUUACCAGUUCCGGCCCAGUAGUUUCCUCUUAUAUGAUUUUAUCAAUAGUUAAUCCGAAUGUAUCAUCAUUUUCUUGUUUGUGUUCAACCAACUCCCUCUUAAUGGCCCAUUUCAACCCUAGUGUGGUGACACCCUGCUUUCUUGUUCAAGUAUGAGCAUGUGAGCAUAUGCCUAGGGUAACUCGAGAGGACCCAGCCUCCUAUCCAUUUGCUAACACCUAGGUCGGAAGUAGUCAAGGCCUUGAAUAUUUCAUAAAAGGAUUCUCAUGCAACAGGCUUAUAAGGAAACGAGUGCCAGAGUCUGCAAUUUGAUACCUGCUGGGACUGGA